CUGGGUGGAAAAUACAGAAUCUGUCAAAAAGGGGAAACUAUUUUCGAUAUAUGGAUUCGUGCUUGGAUACUCCCUCCACCAGCUCAACCCAGAGUUCAAUGUUUCAGGCCACCAGUGACUCCACCAUUGCAGCAACAACAGCUGCUUCGCAAAAGGCGGGGAAAGGGCCGAGUCUGAUUUGCCAAUCUCAUGGGAAUUGAAGAUUACCCCUCCAGACCUUUGCAGGCCGCUCUGAAGAUACAGUUUGAGGAAGGUGAGAAGACUGUUUCAAGUCAAUAUCUCGGCAACCAAUUACUGUGACAAUCACAAUCUCAAAACGCUCAUCUCAGAAAUGUAGCAUGUAACUCAACUGAGCGGAAAAGAAAUCACUUAAAAGAGGGAAAAUCCAGCCAAAAAUCCUAAGACCAAAAAUGUCGUGAGUGAAGAAAGUGAGAAGAGAAUUAUUACGGACUAUUAAAGUGACGCUUCCCCAAUCAAAGCUGGUCUUGCAGACGAAAACCCUAAGGAAGAAGAAACAGAUGCCUUUGCAUCUCAGAGUGAGUGGAGGUAUCGCCUUAUUGAAUGUAAUGUCCAGUGUUGAAUAUUAAGUAUGGCUGCACUCAUAAAAUGAAAACGUGCAUUUGACAAGAAAACGUUGGUGCAUUUGUAUUUGUGCGAAUUCGAGUGCUAUUUCUCGAAUCAU